UCUCUCAGCUGACUGAAUCAACGAGGAGUACCUGGAAUGCAGCUUCAUAACAUACCUCUUGGCUUUCUUCGUAUCUGUAUCUAGAGCUUGCCCUGAAAAAGGCAAUAGCUCCAAGAAUUUAUCCGUGAACUCCUCUACACCCAUGUGCUCUGACUGCCUCAGUUGUUCAAACUCAAUCAUCUUCGGUUCUCUGGAACUGUCUGGAAAAGCCCAUCCAGCGAACUCAUUCGCAAACUCUUCCCAUGUCAUACCGUCUAGUCUCGGG
rnacentral:lncRNA from 1 species